rnacentral:lncRNA from 1 species
CGUGAGCGGCCGUCCAGCCUCUUGCCUGGCGUCACUCACCACCAGACAUUUUUAUCCCGACUUCUCUUCCGCUUUCAUCCUUUUCUCUAUUGAUAUAUUGUUUUUUGCCGAGAUCUAAAGCCUGGUUUUUCCGUUGAAUCCGAUCUCUCCAGUGCCGAGGAGCCUUCCAUCGGGCUAGAGGAAGGAGGACGAAGCCUCUUGCUCUCUCUCUCUCUCUCGUUCUCACUUCACUCCAUCUGCCUGGAUCGAUUAUGAUAGUAAACCCAUUCUGAUUUUCGGUUGAUUCUCUGCUACCAACCCUGUUCUGAUGACUAAGGCAAUGCUCAAUAUCUCAACGGACUCCAUCGCUAGUCUGCCUUAAACACCUCCAUUCGAAACCGAGCACUUUUUGCUACAGUGCGGUGAAAAACUAAAAAUUGGAAGCAAAAGAAUUUUAACUGAAACGCAGCUUUAUUUUGGAAGUGUAUGGAUAACACCAGCCUGCCAUUCUGGUGUCUUUCCAAACCUGGUUACUGACCGAUGCUUUUACAUCCAGUAAAAAUUGUAAAUCCCAAUCGGUGAUUCAAUCUAUCAGCUUAGUUCAU